GUUUGCUUCGGCAGCACAUAUACUAAAAUUGGAACAAUACAGAGAUUAGCAUGGUCCCGGUGCGAGGAGGACACCCAAAAAGAAAAGAGGUUCACACUAUCUGU
ensembl:snRNA U6 U6 spliceosomal RNA